rnacentral:hammerhead_ribozyme from 1 species
GCACUGCUGAGGAGUCCCACAAUAGGACGAACCGGCCGUCCAGAGC